rnacentral:rRNA from 1 species
GAUGAACGCUGACAGAAUGCUUAACACAUGCAAGUCUUUGGCGAAGCUGUGCUUGCACAGCCUAGCCAAGGCGGACGGGUGAGUAACGCGUAAGGAACUUGCCCUGCAGUCAGGGAUAACAGACGGAAACGACUGAUAAGACCUGGUAAAGUCAGGCGGACUCAUGUCCAGCCUGAUGAAAAGAGAUGCUGCAGGAGAGCCUUGCGUCCUAUUAGCUAGUUGGUGGGGUAACGGCCCACCAAGGCGAUGAUAGGUAGCCGGCCUGAGAGGGUGGACGGCCACAAGGGGACUGAGAUACGGCCCUUACUCCUACGGGAGGCAGCAGUGGGGAAUAUUGGACAAUGGGGGCAACCCUGAUCCAGCAAUUCUGUGUGCACGAUGAAGGUUUUCGGAUUGUAAAGUGCUUUCAGCAGGGAAGAAAAAAUGACGGUACCUGCAGAAGAAGCGACGGCUAAAUACGUG